rnacentral:rRNA from 1 species
CACGUAGGGGGCGAGCGUUGUCCGGAAUCAUUGGGCGUAAAGCGCGCGCAGGCGGUCCUUUAAGUCUGAUGUGAAAGCCCACGGCUCAACCGUGGAGGGUCAUUGGAAACUGGGGGACUUGAGUGCAGAAGAGGAAAGCGGAAUUCCACGUGUAGCGGUGAAAUGCGUAGAGAUGUGGAGGAACACCAGUGGCGAAGGCGGCUUUCUGGUCUGUAACUGACGCUGAGGCGCGAAAGCGUGGGGAGCAAACAGG